UACGUAGGGUGCAAGCGUUGUCCGGAAUUAUUGGGCGUAAAGAGCUCGUAGGCGGUCUGUCGCGUCGGCUGUGAAAACCUGGGGCUUAACUCCGGGCUUGCAGCCGAUACGGGCAGACUAGAGUUCGGCAGGGGAGACUGGAAUUCCUGGUGUAGCGGUGAAAUGCGCAGAUAUCAGGAGGAACACCGGUGGCGAAGGCGGGUCUCGUGGGCCGAUACUGACGCUGAGGAGCGAAAGCGUGGGGAGCGAACAGG
rnacentral:rRNA from 1 species